UGUUGAUGCAUGAGAUUCUUCAGAAUGAAACACCAUUUGAAUAAUAAUUACAUUUUUUCAUAGCUUCCUUGUUGGCAUCUGUGUAAGCUCCAUAAAACAUGUGUCGUACAUCCCUGAGGGAAGUGGAUUGUGCUAGGUACUAAUAAGGGAUUGAUUGGCAUUCCUGUUAAAGGGGGACACCCUGACUAAAUGGGAGAGAGGAACAAAAGGGUUGAGGAUGGAAAAAUAGAUGUGCCUGCCUUUGAGGUCUCAGAAAAGAACUUGUAAAUACCAAGAUCCCCAAAAUGGUGUUACUGAUGUAUAACAGAUGUGAACUAGAGAGCAAUAAAUCAAAGAGACAUUGAAUUCAUAUGGUUUUUAUUACAGGGAGUACUUAGAAGUCUUUGCUCAAUGUCAUCAGCCUGAGGUUAUGAGCCUUAGAAAAGCUCAUUCCCCCAAGAAUCUGUUUCUUUAUCUGCAUAGAAAAACAACACCCACUCUGCUGUGCUGCUGUGAGACGUGAAAAAACAGUUCAAUGUACAAGUGCCCAUCAGUCAAUAGAUGUUAGUGACGUAAAUAUAUUUCCUUUCUUGCCAUUCAUUCUAAUUUUUUUUUUUUUGGUACCAGAGAUCGAACUCAGGUCCUUUCGCUUGCGCAGCAGGCGGUGAAACCACUGAGCUAAAUCGCUGGCCCUUCAUUCUGAUUUUAAUCCUUGUUUUGGAUGCUUACUCUUUGACGUCACUCUUAUUUAGCUUUUAUGUUUGCUGUUUGUUUGUUUGUUUGUUUUGAGACAGGGUCUUGCUAUGUAGUUCAGGCUGGAUUUAAUUCUUUAUAUAACCCAUGUGAUCCUUAAACUCAUGGUGAUCCUCCUGCCUCAGCCUCCUGUAUACUGGGAUUACACAUGUGUGCUAUUUACUCUUAUUUAGGUAUGGGCCUGCCCUGCUUUUAGACUUACUUUGCCUUGCUGGCUACAGCUGACUCUUGGCUUGGACUUGCUCUUCUUGAAAUUCUUUGCCCCAGAUUCCAGUUUCUGUUCCUACUGCUUUUCCUAAAUUUCUAAUUAAAUUCAGUCCAUAAGAAAUUUGAAGGUUGA
rnacentral:lncRNA from 1 species